rnacentral:rRNA from 1 species
AGAGUUCGAUUAUGGCUCAGGAUGAACGCUGGCGGCGUGCUUAACACAUGCAAGUCGAGCGAAGCGGCUGAAUUGAUUCUUCGGAUGAUUUUCGGUUGACUGAGCGGCGGACGGGUGAGUAACGCGUGGGUGACCUGCCCCAUACCGGGGGAUAACAGCUGGAAACGGCUGCUAAUACCGCAUAAGCGCACAGAGCUGCAUGGCUCGGUGUGAAAAGCUCCGGCGGUACAGGAUGGACCCGCGUCUGAUUAGCUAGUUGGUAAGGUAACGGCUUACCAAGGCGACGAUCAGUAGCCGACCUGAGAGGGUGAUCGGCCACAUUGGAACUGAGACACGGUCCAA